UUCAGUGCAGGGACCAAGUUCUGGCAAUACUUUGUCAUCAAGUCACAUCCAACCUUCUACUGCUGCUGUUAAAUUGACAGAAAGAAAACUGUUGCAAGUUAAAAAAAAAAAAAAGGUACAAGAGGUAAAACUGGCUAUGAAGCCAUAGUACCAAAAUAAAGACAUCUUCAGAGCGUAGGGGAAGCAGUGGGCAAUGUCUGUGCUAUUAAAAGUAAUGUCUACUAAAGUGGCAAGUCUGGUCAAAGCCAUGCAGGCAAGUAGAGAUAUU
rnacentral:lncRNA from 1 species